rnacentral:rRNA from 1 species
UACGUAGGGGGGCAAGCGUUUAUCCGGAUUCACUGGGUUUAAAGGGUGCGUAGGUGGGCUGGUAAGUCAGUGGUGAAAUCUCCAGGCUUAACUUGGAAACUGCCAUUGAUACUAUCAGUCUUGAAUACCGUGGAGGUCAGCGGAAUAUGUCAUGAGCGGUGAAAUGCUUAGAUAUGACAUAGAACACCAAUUGCGAAGGCAGCUGGCUACACGAAUAUUGACACUGAUGCACGAAAGCGUGGGGAUCAAACAGG